rnacentral:rRNA from 1 species
AACGGACGCUGGCGGCAGGCUUAACACAUGCAAGUCGAGCGAGACCUUCGGGUCUAGCGGCGGACGGGUGAGUAACGCGUGGGAACGUGCCCUUCUCUACGGAAUAGCCCCGGGAAACUGGGAGUAAUACCGUAUACGCCCUUUGGGGGAAAGAUUUAUCGGAGAAGGAUCGGCCCGCGUUGGAUUAGGUAGUUGGUGGGGUAAUGGCCCACCAAGCCGACGAUCCAUAGCUGGUUUGAGAGGAUGAUCAGCCACACUGGGACUGAGACACGGCCCAGACUCCUACGGGAGGCAGCAGUGGGGAAUCUUAGACAAUGGGGGCAACCCUGAUCUAGCCAUGCCGCGUGAGUGAUGAAGGCCUUAGGGUUGUAAAGCUCUUUCAGCUGGGAAGAUAAUGACGGUACCAGCAGAAGAAGCCCCGGCUAACUCCGUG